rnacentral:rRNA from 1 species
GAGUUUGAUCGUGGCUCAGAACGAACGCUGGCGGCAUGCCUAACACAUGCAAGUCGAACGAGACCUUCGGGUCUAGUGGCGCACGGGUGCGUAACGCGUGGGAAUCUGCCCUUGGGUUCGGAAUAACUUCGGGAAACUGAAGCUAAUACCGGAUGAUGUCGUAAGACCAAAGAUUUAUCGCCCAGGGAUGAGCCCGCGUAGGAUUAGCUAGUUGGUGGGGUAAAGGCCUACCAAGGCGACGAUCCUUAGCUGGUCUGAGAGGAUGAUCAGCCACACUGGGACUGAGACACGGCCCAGACUCCUACGGGAGGCAGCAGUGGGGAAUAUUGGACAAUGGGCGAAAGCCUGAUCCAGCAAUGCCGCGUGAGUGAUGAAGGCCCUAGGGUUGUAAAGCUCUUUUACCCGGGAUGAUAAUGACAGUACCGGGAGAAUAAGCCCCGGCUAACUCCGUGCCAGCCGCCGCAGUAAC